GAUGAACGCUGGCGGCGUGCUUAACACAUGCAAGUCGAACGGAGAGCUAUUGACGGAGUUUUCGGACAACUGAAAUAGUUUCUUAGUGGCGGACGGGUGAGUAACGCGUGAGGAACCUGCCUUUGAGAGGGGAAGUAACACAGAGAAAUUUAGUUGCUAAUACCGCAUAAAAGACAGUUGGGUCGGCAUGGCUCUGACUGCCAAAGAAUUUUAUUCGCUCUUAGAUGGCCUCGCGUCUGAUUAGCUAGUUGGUUGAGGUAACGGCCCACCCAAGGCGACGAUCAGUAGCCGGACUGAGAGGUUGACCGGCCACAUUGGGACUGAGACACGGCCC
rnacentral:rRNA from 1 species